GCCCCAGCAUGGUAGCUUGUGCCUGUGUUCCAAACUACCCCAGAGACUGAGGCAGUAGGGUCACUUGAGCCCAAGAUCUCUAGGCUGUAGUGCACUAUGCCAAUUGGUGUCUAUGCUGAAUCCAGCGUCAAUGUGGUUAUUUCCUGGUAGCAGGGACCACCAGGUUGCCUAAGGGAGGAUGAAUUGGCUCAGAUCAGAAACAGAGCAGGUCAAACUCUUGUGCUGUUCAGUAGUGGAAUUGUACCUGUGAAUAGCCACUGCACUCCAGCCUGGGCAAUGUAGUGAGACCCUGUCUCU
ensembl:misc_RNA Metazoa_SRP Metazoan signal recognition particle RNA